AUUGAACGCUGGCGGCAGGCCUAAUACAUGCAAGUCGAACGGUAGCACAGAGAGCUUGCUCUCGGGUGACGAGUGGCGGACGGGUGAGUAACGUCUGGGAAACUGCCCGAUGGAGGGGGAUAACUACUGGAAACGGUAGCUAAUACCGCAUAACGUCGCAAGACCAAAGUGGGGGACCUUCGGGCCUCACACCAUCGGAUGUGCCCAGAUGGGAUUAGCUAGUAGGUGGGGUAAUGGCUCACCUAGGCGACGAUCCCCAGCUGGUCUGAGAGGAUGACCAGCCACACUGGAACUGAGACACGGUCCAGACUCCUAUGGGAGGCAGCAGUGGGGAAUAUUGCACAAUGGGCGCAAGCCUGAUGCAGCCAUGCCGCGUGUAUGAAGAAGGCCUUCGGGUUGUAAAGUACUUUCAGCGGGGAGGAAGGCGGUGAAGUUAAUAGCUUCACCGAUUGACGUUACCCGCAGAAGAAGCACCGGCUAACUCCGUGCCAGCAGCCGCCGUAA
rnacentral:rRNA from 1 species